GACGAACGUUGGCGGCGUGCCUAAUACAUGCAAGUCAACUGAAAUACCGGUAGCAAUACUGGUAUGGAGGUGGCGCACGGGUGAGUAACACGUAGGUAAUCUGCCUUCAGGUCUGACAUAACCCAUCGAAAGGUGAGCUAAUAUCAGAUGAUGCAGCGGCUUGACAUCAAGACAGUUGUUAAAGCUUCGGCGCCUGAAGAUGAGCCUGCGUCUGAUUAGCUAGUUGGCGGGGUAACGGCCCACCAAGGCUGCGAUCAGUAGCUGGUCUGAGAGGAUGAUCAGUCACACUGGAACUGAGACACGGUCCAGACUCCUACGGGAGGCAGCAGUAAGGAAUAUUGCUCAAUGGCCGAAAGGCUGAAGCAGCAACGCCGCGUGAGGGAUGAAGGUCUUCGGAUUUGUAAACCCCUUUCGGGAGGGAAGAGUGGGACGGGCAACCGUUCGGACGGUACCUCCAGAAGCAGCCACGGCUAACUUCG
rnacentral:rRNA from 1 species